UGAAUAUAGGUGUAUGUGGCAUAAAAAGCUUUGAUUUUUUGGGAAAUGGUGGAAAUCCAUUAUAUUCAU
rnacentral:tRNA from 1 species